rnacentral:rRNA from 1 species
UGAACGCUGGCGGCAGGCCUAACACAUGCAAGUCGAACGGCAGCACAGAAGAGCUUGCUCUUUGGGUGGCGAGUGGCGGACGGGUGAGUAAUGUCUGGGAAACUGCCCGAUGGAGGGGGAUAACUACUGGAAACGGUAGCUAAUACCGCAUAACGUCGCGAGACCAAAGUGGGGGACCUUCGGGCCUCACACCAUCGGAUGUGCCCAGAUGGGAUUAGCUAGUAGGUGGGGUAAUGGCUCACCUAGGCGACGAUCCCUAGCUGGUCUGAGAGGAUGACCAGCCACACUGGAACUGAGACACGGUCCAGACUCCUACGGGAGGCAGCAGUGGGGAAUAUUGCACAAUGGGCGCAAGCCUGAUGCAGCCAUGCCGCGUGUAUGAAGAAGGCCUUCGGGUUGUAAAGUACUUUCAGCGGGGAGGAAGGCGGUGAGGUUAAUAACCUUGCCGAUUGACGUUACCCGCAGAAGAAGCACCGGCUAACUCCGUGCCAGCAGCCGCGGUAAUACGGAGGGUGCAAAGCGUUAAUCGAGAAUUACUGGCGUAAAGCGCACGCACGCCGGUCUGUUAAGUCAGAUGUGAAAUCCCCGGGCUUAACCUGGGGAUCUGCAUUUGAAACUUGCAGGCUUGAGUCUCGUAGAGGGGGGGUAGAAUUCCCAGGUGUAGCGGUGAAAUGCGUAGAGAUCUGGAGGAAUACCGGUGGCGAAGGCGGCCCCCUGGACGAAGACUGACGCUCAGGUGCGAAAGCGUGGGGAGCAAACAGGAUUAGAUACCCUGGUAGUCCACGCCGUAAACGAUGUCGACUUGGAGGUUGUGCCCUUGAGGCGUGGCUUCCGGAGCUAACGCGUUAAGUCGACCGCCUGGGGAGUACGGCCGCAAGGUUAAAACUCAAAUGAAUUGACGGGGGCCCGCACAAGCGGUGGAGCAUGUGGUUUAAUUCGAUGCAACGCGAAGAACCUUACCUGGCCUUGACAUCCAGAGAACUUAGCAGAGAUGCUUUGGUGCCUUCGGGAACUCUGAGACAGGUGCUGCAUGGCUGUCGUCAGCUCGUGUUGUGAAAUGUUGGGUUAAGUCCCGCAACGAGCGCAACCCUUAUCCUUUGUUGCCAGCGGCUCGGCCGGGAACUCAAAGGAGACUGCCGGUGAUAAACCGGAGGAAGGUGGGGAUGACGUCAAGUCAUCAUGGCCCUUACGGCCAGGGCUACACACGUGCUACAAUGGCGCAUACAAAGAGAAGCGACCUCGCGAGAGCAAGCGGACCUCAUAAAGUGCGUCGUAGUCCGGAUUGGAGUCUGCAACUCGACUCCAUGAAGUCGGAAUCGCUAGUAAUCGUAGAUCAGAAUGCUACGGUGAAUACGUUCCCGGGCCUUGUACUCACCGCC